CGGUCCAGACUCCUACGGGAGGCAGCUGUAGGGAAUCUUCCGCAAUGGGCGAAAGUCUGACGGAGCACGCCGCGUGAGUUGAUGAAGGUUUCGGAUCGUAAAGCUCUGUUGUUAGGGAGAACAAAUGUGAAAGUAACUCGCACAUCUUGACGGUACCUAACCAGAAAGCCACGGCUAACUACGUGCCAGCAGCCGCGGUAA
rnacentral:rRNA from 1 species